rnacentral:tRNA from 1 species
UAGGGUAUAGCCAAAUUGGUAAGGCUUUGGUUUUUGGUGCCAAGAUUUGAAGGUUCGAAUCCUUCUACCCUAA